rnacentral:rRNA from 1 species
UACGUAGGCAGCAAGCGUUGUUCGGAAUUACUGGGCGUAAAGAGUGUGUAGGCGGUGCUCUAAGUUCGGUGUGAAAUCUCCCGGCUCAACUGGGAGGGUGCGCCGAAAACUGGGGGUGCUGGAGCGCGGGAGAGGAAAGCGGAAUUCCUGGUGUAGCGGUGAAAUGCGUAGAUAUCAGGAGGAACACCGGCGGUGUAGACGGCUUCUGGACCGUAGCUGACGCUGAGACACGAAAGCGUGGGUAGCAAACAGG